GCGGCGAGCUGUAUCGCGACUGCGCCUUCCACAUCGAUCUGCUGGGCGGCUUCCGCUACCUCGAUAUGCAGGAAGCCCUGUUGCUGACGCAGUUCACGCAAUUCACGGCGGCGGUGCCGGCCCUGCAGUUCAACACGGUGACCAGCUCGGACCGCUUCCGCACGCACAACCAGUUUUACGGCGGCCAGAUCGGCACCGAGGCGGAGCUGCACCACGGCCGGUGGUUCCUGGACGCAUGGGGCAAGGUGGCGGUGGGCGCCAUGAAUCAACGCGUUGGCACCAACGGCACGACGCUGCUCGGUUCGCCCGCCGGCCUGCAAGCGGCCCGGGUCGGCGGCGUCUACGCUCAGGAGACCAACGCCGGCGAUCAUAACCGCACGGAAGUGACCGCCAUCCCCGAGGUCGGCCUGAACGUGGGCUAUCAGCUGACGGGUCACCUGCGGGCCAGGAUUGGCUACAACUUCCUGUAUAUCCCCAAUGUGGCGCGGCCCGGCGAUCACAUCGACCGCACGGUGAACGUGACGCAGCAGGCCCCGGGCGGCCUGGUGGGCCCGGCCCGGCCGGCGUUCACGUUUGACAGCACCGACUUCUGGGCCCACGGCCUGAGCUUUGGGCUGGAGUUCCGCUACUAAUGCUGGUGGUGAGGUGGUGGGGUAGUGCAGGACCCACCACCUCACUAUCUCACUAUCUCACUAUCUCACUAUCUCACCACCUGUCAUUUCUUCCGAUUCCC
rnacentral:misc_RNA from 1 species